UGGAGAAUGGGCGGAAGGGAGACCAAGGGGGAAGCAAUCAGGAGGCACCUUCAGUCAGUCAGUUAACAGGUGCGUAAAGGCACAGCUCCACACCAAGAGAAAGCCCAGAGCAAGCCCAGAGGAGGGGUGCCUGAUCCAACCUGAGGGCCAGGUGGUAUCCAGGCUGAGAUCUGAAGAUGGGCACGUCGGGCCUGGGGAGGACUUUGACUUGCAUCCCUUGUCUUCGUCUCCAUUGGCACAGCCAGACUUACCACGCUUCAGGUCAAGACCCUCUAAUGUGGCCUCUUCUGCUCAGGCUCCGGUGUUAGACAUAAGCCUGUGACCUUGUAAGAUGUCUUGUUCUCUUUGAAGGAAACCUUCAAGUUGGCAAACAAAGCCCAGACUUCCUGGAAGUGGAAGUCGUAUUCAAACGCCACGGAGUUGGAUCCUAUUGAUGACCAUGCUCAGGACAUCCAGAUGAGAAAGGACAAUCUCCUACGACGUAAAUCCUCAUGGGGCCUCAAGCUCAC